GCCAGACUCCUACGGGAGGCAGCAGUGAGGAAUAUUGGUCAAUGGGCGAGAGCCUGAACCAGCCAAGCCGCGUGAGGGAAGACGGUCCUAUGGAUUGUAAACCUCUUUUGUCGGGGAGCAAAAAGGCCUCGUGAGGCUACAAGUGAGAGUACCCGAAGAAAAAGCAUCGGCUAACUCCGUGCCAGCAGCCGCGGUAAUACGGAGGAUGCGAGCGUUAUCCGGAUUUAUUGGGUUUAAAGGGUGCGUAGGCGGACUGGAAAGUCAGCGGUAAAAUCGAGAGGCUCAACCUCUUUCCGCCGUUGAAACUGUCGGUCUUGAGUGGGCGAGAAGUAUGCGGAAUGCGUGGUGUAGCGGUGAAAUGCAUAGAUAUCACGCAGAACUCCGAUUGCGAAGGCAGCGUACCGGCGCCCAACUGACGCUGAAGCACGAAGGCGUGGGUAUCGAACAGGAUUAGAUACCCCUGUA
rnacentral:rRNA from 1 species